UGCAGUCGAACGGAAAGGCCCUGCUUGCAGGGUACUCGAGUGGCGAACGGGUGAGUAACACGUGGGUGAUCUGCCCUGCACUUCGGGAUAAGCCUGGGAAACUGGGUCUAAUACCGGAUAGGAGCCAUUUUUAGUGUGAUGGUUGGAAAGUUUUUUCGGUGUAGGAUGAGCUCGCGGCCUAUCAGCUUGUUGGUGGGGUAAUGGCCUACCAAGGCGGCGACGGGUAGCCGGCCUGAGAGGGUGGACGGCCACAUUGGGACUGAGAUACGGCCCAGACUCCUACGGGAGGCAGCAGUGGGGAAUAUUGCACAAUGGGCGCAAGCCUGAUGCAGCGACGCCGCGUGGGGGAUGACGGCCUUCGGGUUGUAAACUCCUUUCGCUAGGGACGAAGCUUUUUGUGACGGUACCUAGAUAAGAAGCACCGGCUAACUACGUGCCAGCAGCCGCGGUAAUACGUAGGGUGCGAGCGUUGUCCGGAAUUACUGGGCGUAAAGGGCUCGUAGGUGGUUUGUCGCGUCGUCUGUGAAAUUCNGGGGCUUAACUCCGGGCGUGCAGGCGAUACGGGCAUAACUUGAGUACUGUAGGGGUAACUGGAAUUCCUGGUGUAGCGGUGAAAUGCGCAGAUAUCAGGAGGAACACCGAUGGCGAAGGCAGGUUACUGGGCAGUUACUGACGCUGAGGAGCGAAAGCAUGGGUAGCGAACAGGAUUA
rnacentral:rRNA from 1 species